AUAAUGGUAAGUGUUACUGGUGGUAUUCUACUGAUUGGGCUGCUUAUGUACAAAGAAUUACCACGAGAGUCAAAUCAGGAAGAAACAUUAUCCAGUGAACUAACUACUGUGUACGAAACGUCAAGACAAUCGUGUAGUAAAGAACUUAUUGGACC